AUGACUCUCGGCMAMGGAWAUCUCGGCUCUUGUCAACAGAAGAACGUAGCGAWAUGCGAUACUUAGUGUGAAUUGCAGAAUCCCGUGAAUCAUCGAGUUUUUGWACGCAAUUUGCGCCCGAGRCCUCGGUCGAGGGCACGUCUGUCUGGGCGUCG
rnacentral:rRNA from 1 species